rnacentral:misc_RNA from 1 species
AAUUCUCAACCUCAAAAGCUUUCUUUGUUUCUGAGGCUUGGAUGUGGAGGUUUUGCUGGCUUGCUUAGAGUCGGCUCCUCUCAAAUGCAUUAGUGGAAAACCGGUUGUAGUCCGCAUUUAGUGUGAUAAUUAUCUACGCUUCUGUGGCUGCAGCUCUGUAGUGUUCGCUUGGAAAGUGCACAUUAAGUUGCUCUUUCUGCUUUUUAAACUGACCUACAUGAGUUGGAUAUCUGCUUCGAACCGUCCUAAGUUACUGGACAACACUUGACUAUU